AGAGUUUGAUCAUGGCUCAGAGCGAACGCUGGCGGCAGGCCUAACACAUGCAAGUCGAACGAACUCUUCGGAGUUAGUGGCGGACGGGUGAGUAACACGUGGGAACGUGCCUUUAGGUUCGGAAUAACUCAGGGAAACUUGUGCUAAUACCGAAUGUGCCCUUCGGGGGAAAGAUUUAUCGCCUUUAGAGCGGCCCGCGUCUGAUUAGCUAGUUGGUGAGGUAAAGGCUCACCAAGGCGACGAUCAGUAGCUGGUCUGAGAGGAUGAUCAGCCACAUUGGGACUGAGACACGGCCCAAACUCCUACGGGAGGCAGCAGUGGGGAAUCUUGCGCAAUGGGCGAAAGCCUGACGCAGCCAUGCCGCGUGAAUGAUGAAGGUCUUAGGAUUGUAAAAUUCUUUCACCGGGGACGAUAAUGACGGUACCCGGAGAAGAAGCCCCGGCUAACUUCGUGCCAGCAGCCGCGGUAAUACGAAGGGGGCUAGCGUUGCUCGGAAUUACUGGGCGUAAAGGGAGCGUAGGCGGACAUUUAAGUCAGGGGUGAAAUCCCGGGGCUCAACCUCGGAAUUGCCUUUGAUACUGGGUGUCUUGAGUAUGAGAGAGGUGUGUGGAACUCCGAGUGUAGAGGUGAAAUUCGUAGAUAUUCGGAAGAACACCAGUGGCGAAGGCGACACACUGGCUCAUUACUGACGCUGAGGCUCGAAAGCGUGGGGAGCAAACAGGAUUAGAUACCCUGGUAGUCCACGCCGUAAACGAUGAUUGCUAGUUGUCGGGAUGCAUGCAUUUCGGUGACGCAGCUAACGCAUUAAGCAAUCCGCCUGGGGAGUACGGUCGCAAGAUUAAAACUCAAAGGAAUUGACGGGGGCCCGCACAAGCGGUGGAGCAUGUGGUUUAAUUCGAAGCAACGCGCAGAACCUUACCACCUUUUGACAUGCCUGGACCGCCAGAGAGAUCUGGCUUUCCCUUCGGGGACUAGGACACAGGUGCUGCAUGGNUGUCGUCAGCUCGUGUCGUGAGAUGUUGGGGUUAAGUCCCGCAACGAGCGCCAACCCUCG
rnacentral:rRNA from 1 species